rnacentral:rRNA from 1 species
UACAGAGGUCUCAAGCGUUGUUCGGAUUCAUUGGGCGUAAAGGGUGCGUAGGUGGCGCCGUAAGUCAGGUGUGAAAUUUCGAGGCUUAACCUCGAAACUGCAUUUGAUACUGCCGUGCUUGAGGACUGGAGAGGAGACUGGAAUUUACGGUGUAGCGGUGAAAUGCGUAGAUAUCGUAAGGAAGACCAGUGGCGAAGGCGGGUCUCUGGACAGUUCCUGACGCUGAGGCACGAAGGUCAGGGGAGCAAACGGG